AUUCCAUUGAUCGAAUUUCAAUGAUGGCAUAAUAACUGCCCUCAAUCUACCAUUCCACCAGCCCUGCCAGCCCAGUCAUGUCUCUCUCAUGCUCAUCAUGACACUAAUGAAAGCCACUAGAUGUCACUACUAUAUAAUUUCCACGCUGCAGUGUCUAGCUGACUGCAGAUACAAGAAUCACUUUGCUCACCACCAACAUGGAACCACCCUUGGCAAGGCCAUGGCAGCCAUCACACAGCACCUUGAGAAUUACUGCUCCCAUUCGAAGGAUCACCAGGGCAUCUUUGAAGCAGGUAAAGUGUAUUUUGUGUCUGUCCUUAUUGUUGGGGCCCAUUCAAGUUCUCUCAUCAUGUUUCCCUCCUUUGGACUGGGAGGGUGUUUUGGUUUGUUUGUUCUGAGGCUUCGGUUAUUGAAAAGUUGA
rnacentral:lncRNA from 1 species